AACGAACGCUGGCGGCAGGCUUAACACAUGCAAGUCGAACGCCCCGCAAGGGGAGUGGCGCACGGGUGAGUAACGCGUGGGAAUAUGCCCUUCGGUUCGGAAUAACACAGGGAAACUUGUGCUAAUACCGGAUACGAUCUACGGAUGAAAGAUUUAUCGCCGAGGGAGUAGCCCGCGUAGGAUUAGCUAGUUGGUGAGGUAAUGGCUCACCAAGGCGACGAUCCUUAGCUGGUCUGAGAGGAUGAUCAGCCACACUGGGACUGAGACACGGCCCAGACUCCUACGGGAGGCAGCAGUGGGGAAUAUUGGACAAUGGGCGAAAGCCUGAUCCAGCAAUGCCGCGUGAGUGAUGAAGGCCUUAGGGUUGUAAAGCUCUUUUACCCGGGAUGAUAAUGACAGUACCGGGAGAAUAAGCCCCGGCUAACUACGUG
rnacentral:rRNA from 1 species